rnacentral:rRNA from 1 species
GACAGAGGUGCCGAGCGUUAGGCGGAAUCACUGGGCUUAAAGCGUGUGUAGGCGGAUGCCUAAGUACCUUGUGAAAUCCCACGGCUCAACCGUGGAACUGCUUGGUAUACUGGGUGUCUUGAGCUGUCUAGGGGCGACCGGAACAAACGGUGGAGCGGUGAAAUGCGUUGAUAUCAUCUGGAAUACCGGAGGCGAAGGCGGCUCACUGGGGGUUUUCUGACGCUGAGGAACGAAAGCCAGGGUAGCGAACGGG